rnacentral:lncRNA from 1 species
UUGCAAUCACACGAAAUGGCCCAAUAUACCGGGGCCCCAACUUGCCCCUCUUCCUGAAUCGAAUCACUCCUUUCCAAGGAGAGACCUUCAGGAGAACGAAGUCGCCGACUUGAAACUCAAGCUCGGAUCGGCGCCUGUCUGCAUAACUCUUCUGUCGGCUCUGGGCGGUCAAUAACCUCUGUCUAACUUGCUGAAUCUGCUCUGUCGUCUGAAGCACGAUCUCUGUGCUGCCCAUCACUCUCUGUCCCACCUCUCCCCAGCAAAUGGGGGUCCGACACCUCCUACCAUACAACAGCUCAAAAGGUGGCAUACCAAUGCUCGAAUGAUGGCUGUUGUUGUAGGAAAACUCUGCCAAGGGUAAAUACGCAUCCCAGCUACCCCCGAAGUCUAACACACACGCUCGAAGCAUGUCCUCCAGCGUCUGAAUCGUCCGCUCGCUCUGACCGUCUGUCUGGGGAUGGUAUGCGGUACUAAAAUGCAAUUUAGUACCCAGCUCCUCAUGGAAUUUCUUCCAGAACCUGGAAGUGAAGCGCACAUCACGGUCUGAAACAAUCGAGAUCGGCACCCCAUGCCGAGAUACCACCUCUCUCACAUAUAUCUCCGCCAACUUCUCCGCUGAAGAACUCUCGCUGAUGGCAAGGAAGUGUGCACUCUUCGUCAACCUAUCCACAAUCACCCAAAUUGCAUCAACUCCCCUGGCAGUCCUCGGCAAUUUGGUGAUGAAAUCCAUAGUGAUCUGUUCCCACUUCCACUCGGGGAUCUCCAAUGGCUGUAACUUGCCAUGCGGUCUCUGGUGCUCGGCCUUAACCCUACGGCAGGUCAAGCACCUCUCAACGAACCAUGCCACGUCCCUCUUCAUACAGGGCCACCAAUACUCCUUCCUCAAAUCCAAAUACAUCUUCGUAGCACCGGGAUGGAUCGAGAAUUUCGAUCUAUGAGCCUCUUCCAUCAAAGUAAUACGCGUACCGCCCACGAACGGUACCCAAAUCCGACCCUGAAACGUCAGAAGCCCUCGUCCAUCCUUAACGAACUCUGAAAUUAACCCAACGACCCGCUCUUUCUUCUGCAUCUCUGGUCGCACAGCCUCGGCCUGUGCCCCACGAAUAGCAUCCAAUACUGGAGUCAUCACAGUCAGUCUCAAGCAUACAUCUCGCAAUGGAGUGCUCUCCGCCCUGCGGCUCAACGCGUCGGCUACCACAUUAGCCUUGCCUGGGUGGUACAGGAUCUCACAAUCAUAAUCCUUGACCACAUCCAACCACCUCCUCUGACGCAUAUUUAGGUUGGGCUGAUCCAUCAAAUACUUCAAACUCUUAUGGUCCGUGUAUAUCGUACAUCGAACCCCAUACAAGUAGUGACGCCAAAUCUUGAGAGCGAACACUACUGCCCCCAACUCUAAAUCAUGCGUGGGAUAUCUCGCCUCAUGAGGCUUCAGCUGCCUCGACGCAUAAGCUAUCACAUGACCCCUCUGCAUCAACACUGCACCCAGUCCCGAAAUCGAUGCGUCGCAAUAUACUACAAAAUCUUCCAUCCCUUCCGGGAGAGCUAAUACCGGGGCUUCGCACAACCUCUGGCGAAGUGUCUCAAAGGAGGUCUGCUGCUCGGGCCCCCAUGAGAAUGCAACACCCUUCCGGGUCAAUCUGGUGAGCGGCACUGCGAUCUUGGAGAAAUCCUUAAUGAAUCUCCGAUAAUACCCUGCCAACCCAAGGAAGCUCCUGAUCUCAGAGGGUGACUUCGGCACCUCCCAACUCAUCACCGCCUCAACCUUGGCCGGAUCGACCAAUAUCCCUUUCUGAUUGACAACAUGUCCUAGAAAUUGGACCUCUCGCAACCAGAAGUCACAUUUGGAGAACUUUGCAUAAAGCUUCUCCGACCUCAAUACCUCAAGGACCUCCCUCAAAUGCUCCUCAUGCUGCUCUCUAGAUCUCGAAUACACCAGAAUGUCGUCGAUAAAUACAAUCACUGACCGAUCCAACAUCGGCCUGCAUACCCUGUUCAUGAGAUCCAUGAACACAGCCGGGGCAUUGGUGAGCCCGAAAGGCAUCACCACAAACUCAUAAUGCCCAUAUCGCGUCCUAAACGCUGUCUUCUGGACAUCCUCAUCCCGCACUCUCACCUGAUGGUACCCUGACCUCAGAUCGAUCUUGGAAAACCAAGAUGCUCCCUGCAACUGAUCGAAUAAAUCAUCGAUCCUCGGUAACGGGUAACGGUUCUUGACCGUCAACUUGUUCAACUCCCGGUAAUCAAUGCACAUCCGGUGUGAACCAUCCUUCUUCUUGACGAACAGAAUAGGUGCUCCCCACGGCGAGCUGCUCGGCCGAAUGAAUCCCUUCCCCAGCAACUCCUGGAGCUGCGAGGACAACUCUUGCAUCUCUGGAGGUGCAAGACGAUAAGGCACCUUAGCAAUAGGCGCGGCCCCCGGAACCAGAUCGAUACCAAACUCUACUUGCCUCACAGGAGGUACUCCCGGCAGCUCCUCGGGGAAAACAUCUGGAAACUCACGCACCACAGGGACCUCCUCAACUGAUUUCGGUCUCUCGGAAACCUCCCGCGUAUCCAUCACAUACGCCACAAAACCCUUACAGCCCUGCUGUAGACACUGCCUCGCCCUAGCGGCCGAACAAAAAGCUGAUCCCGAACGGGUACCCUCGCCGUACACCGAAAGAACUCCCCCACUAUGGUCUCGUAUAGUCACCAGCUGACGCUCACAGUCGAUGACAGCGCCGAAUCGGCUCAACCAGUCCAUGCCCACGAUGACACAGACAUCACCCAUCGCAAUAGGAAUCAGGUCAAUCGGGAAUUCAACCCCGAAAAUCUCUAGUACACAUCCCCGAAGAACCUCCGUGGCACAAAUCACUUUCUCGUCAGCUAUAGAAACUCUCAAAGGUCGACUCAACGACUCACGACUAACGCUGAUAUGCUGACUAAAGGCUAAGGACACAAAGGACCUACUCGCACCCGAGUCAAAUAACACUAAGGCAGGCACAGAGUUCACAAGGAAAGUACCUACGCAUAUAAUAACAUAAGCAUAACAUCUCGACAUUAAAAUAAAUACAUGAAUUACAACAUACCUGCCACAACAUCGGGCGCAGCGCGGACCUCCUCCGCAGUCAGCUGAAAGGCUCUCCCCCGAGCCCUCGGGGCCUCGGCCUUCACCGGUCGAGUCGCAGUAGCUCUGGCAGCAGGUGCAGAUCCCUGAAGAAGCUGAGGGCACUCGGCCUUCCGAUGGCCUGUCUGGUUGCAAUGAAAGCAAACCGUAAAUCCCUUGGGACACUCCCUAGCAAUGUGCCCCUCCUUGCCACACUUGUAGCAAGCACCAGAUCGACACGCCCCAUCAUGACCCUUGCCGCACUUUCCGCAAGUGCGGCCCUUCGAACCUCCCGUCCUCGAAUCGGCGGACUUGGUCCGCUUGGCUGCCGGCUGAGACUGAGCCGGCCGCCGGUCCACCUGCUGAGACUCGGCCUCCUCCCUGGCCUGGGUCUCCAACUCGAUCUCACGCUUCCUGGCAUUCGCCUGAAGCUCAGUAAAAGUAUGAUAGGUGGAGUUUGACACAAACUCCCGGAUAUCCCUCCUCAAAACACCCAAGUACCGGCUCAUCCGAGCCUGCUCUGUGGACACCAGCUCGGGGCAGAACAUCGCCCUCUCAUGAAACUUCCGCGUGAUCACCGCAACCGAAUCAGUACCCUGCUUGAGGGUUAAGAACUCCUGAACCAAUCGUUCCCUCUCCACCGGGGGAACGUACUCAUCCCUGAACAUGGCAGUAAACCCCUCCCAUGUCACUGCUGUAGUCUCUGCCAAAGUGAAGUUCGCCGUCACGAACUUCCACCAGUCCUUCGCUCCCAGACGGAGCUGGUUCAAAGCGAACCGUACCCUCAGGUGCUCCGGGCAUGAACAAGUGUAGAAGCACCCCUCUAUAUCCGCGAUCCACCUCAUCGCAGCAAUCGGAUCCUGCGUCCCAUCGAACUCUGGUGGCUUCGUGUUGCUGAACUCUCGGAACAGCAACGAGUCACCCCCCUGUGGCCUAGCAGCGGCCACAGCUGCGGUAGCUGCAGCGGUUGCAGCCUCAGUCAAUGCGGCGUACCGCUCAUCAAACGUCUCCAUCAGGGUGGUCUUAAUAGACCCAAACAUCUCCGGGAUCUCAGCCCGGAUCGCCGCAGCUACCUCCUCGUGAAUCAUCUGACGAAUCUCCUCGUCACUCACACCGCUCGAACUCGCUCCGUGGCGUGGUCUAACCAUGAUGUCUCUGAAAUACAACAUAAAACUAUCAGAGACUCCAUCGAGUGUAAUCGCACUCGAUAACGCAACCCUACUCAGUCUCCGAUAUCCAGGGAUUCUUACUUGGGUCUCCCACUGACCCGGUGUCUUCGGUAGUACGGGCCCAAUACUACCGACCACACCGCAUCAGCAUUCAUCCCAAAUCUUCCUCCCCAAACCCCGGAUAGUGAGUACUCUACUUCUGUUAUGCACUAUCUACCCGCACACUAGCAAAGCAUCUCAUAUCGGCAAACUUCCCUAGACUAAGGCAUCACAAAUCAGGCCACUCUAGUCCUAUCAUGAAUACCUAGUCUUCUAGCAUGCAUAACAAUUCAUAUCAUAUAAUAUUGUAAGGUAUUUUGGGGAUCUUUACCGUUCGGGCGCUGACUGAUCGUACACACUGCUUCUUUCUUGCUUACCACAAAACCAUUUACAAAAGUUUAUGCCUUUAUUUAAAAAGUUUUCCUCAAAUCCUCGGUUUGAGUUCAGUUACUCCCGAAGGUGCACCCGAAUCCCUCAAACCAAGGCUCUGAUACCAAUUGUAACAACGCAAAUUUUCAAACAAAUUUUUCAUUUUAAAAAUAAAGUAUUUCCAUUCAAAACAAGGCAUAAAUAAUUUAAGUGUCAUGUCAAAUACAAAUUGUCUAAAUCCCAAGAUCAUAAAAACAUCCUUCAGUGUGUACCGAUCACGCCGGCGCCUUCCCACGGUCCUCGCUAGUACCUGAAACACAUACAUAACAACUGUAAGCAUAAAUGCUUAGUGAGUUCCCCAAUAUACAACUUACGCACAUACGCCUUUCCAGGCCCUGACCUUCCGGUCCUCAACACAACGCCUUCCGGCCCAUAACAUAAUCGCCUUCCGGCCCAUAACAUAUUGCCUUCCGGCCCACAUAACAUACAUAGCACAUAUAACAAAUAACUUACCACAUAUAGCAUACAUAUCACAUAUCAUAUCUGACCUUCCGGUCACACAGUCAAACCCUUCCGGGUACAGUAUAGUGAGAAGACUCACCUCGUGAAUGCUGAAAGCUAGCAAAUCCUGAAAUCACUCGUGCACAAUCCGUCGAGCUACAACCUCCCUAUAACAUCACAUAUCUCUCAUUAACACUUAUAUCUUCUAAGUGUGACUAUCCCUAAGAAGUCAGACUUAGGUCAACUCUGGUCAACGGUCAACGGUCAACUCGACCGGACUCGGCGAGUGCCAUGGCGACUCGGCGAGUCUAGACGUCCUCCAACUCUCUGAGAUUCCCUAUCUACUCGUCGAGUAUCCUCCUUGACCCGACGAGUUACUCCUGGAAGAAUCGCGGGGCCACCCCGACUCAACUCGCCGAGUCUGAAGAACAACUCGACGAGUCCCAGUUAAUCUUCAAGCUACUCGCCGAGUCUGUUCGUCGAACUCGGCGAGUCCAUGCCAUGCAACUGCUCAAACUGCAUCAUAAGGUCAGAGCUGCUCCGACCAUUCCUAGGUUUGGCCUUCCUAGGCUGAUCCAUCACGUAAAGUCCUCAUUUCAGUGCUCAUGAUACACCUUAUGAUUCAUACUUUACAUUUUGACCUAAGGCAUAAGGAUUCCAAUCCAAAACCUUCAUCAAUUCCCGAAAUGCACAGACAUGGGACAUUCUGGACCUCCAAAGGUCCCAAUACAGGGUUACAUUCGUUUAGGGGACUAGGGUAACAUUCAAUCUAUUCACAAAAAGGGUUCCAUAAACCCUAAUUCCAUAAUCACAUCAAAAUAGCAGAGUAUACUCGAAUUCUUACCUGGAUGAUGUAUUCUCUGUGUCCCCAAUCCUCAGAAUGUGACUCCCUUGCUGUUCCUUUAGCCAAUCCCUUCUCUUCCUUGCACAACAACUCUUCUAUAAUCAACAAUGGCCUAUAAUCCUUGCUCCAGAUGCACCCAAUCGAUUUAGGGUUCUUCUCAGAAGGCUAAAAUGAAUAAUGACGGCCAAUAAGUCUCUUUUAUACGUCCCAAACCUGAACGGUUAGGGUUUUCGCUAAACAGCGUAGACUCGCCGAGUCCAUAUCUGGACUCGUCGAGUCCAGUCGCGAACCCGCGACCAAGUCUGCGAUCCUACUCGGCGAGUCUAGGCUCCAACUCGCCGAGUCCCCUCUUAAAUCACCCCAAAAACAUAAUUUAACAAUACCUGAGAUUCCGGGCUGUUACAUGACUAAGAUAAUUAUAGUAAGACCAAAUACUCCUAUGGUAUUUCUUAAUGGUUGUGUUGGUAAGUUUUUAGACAUGUUGCCACAUCACAACCAUUAUUGGGCAUAGGCUAAUCACUCCUUGGACCAGCAUAGCUGAUCAGGCUAUGCCAUUCCCAAGACUGACCAUAUAUCCCCAGGCUUACUUGUGAUAUUCAACAAUAGUAAUACUUUUGUUCUUGUCAUUGUGACACUGAUUUUAGUAUGAAUUCAGGCACGUAUACUUACUUAAAUAUUUUAUUAUUUAAAAGUAUAAACUCUUAGACAGAGUGUUUUUAAUCCCAAUGAAUUUAUAGUUAGUAUAUCUUUUAUUGGUUGAUAUACUAUAUUCACUAUAAACAAUGCUCUGAUACCAAUCUGUCACACCCCAAAACCGAGAACGGCGGAAACGUUCCGGGGUGGAGGAUGUCAUGUGAAGUAUCAUAACAAUGUAAAGUAGUAAACAAGCAACAACAUCAUCCAUUGCAUUAAAAGUAAAGUUUUAAUACAUGUGUGUUCUUUCAUUGUAAUAAGACACCAAAAUAUAUAAUCAAAAUAAAAGACGAGUAUUGUCUGUGCUCCGUCUUCUCAAAACCUGGCCAUCGUACCUGUCUACUGGUGACCUGAAAAUACAAGUUAUUUUGAAAGCGAGUAUCAACCUAAAGCUGGUGAAUUCAUAAGUAUUUAAGUGUCAUUGUCUUGUUUUGGAAAGCUGUUAUGAAUGUUAUGUAAAUCUUUGAAUGAAACAGUUGAUAUAAGUAUGAAAACCCUAGAAAAUCCCAUAUUUCCUACUAGUAUGAAAUGUAGUCUUCUACCAAGACCUGAAUGUUUUGCUAUGACAAUGAUAGUUUUUCCUUCUUUUUGACUAUUACAAACAGUAUUUAGUCUAACUCAUCGUUUAUGUGAAUGUAUCACAAAAUAAAAUAAUAGGAAAAAUGUAAUCGUGUAACUGUUAUCCUUUUGUAUUAGGAUUAACACGACAUCGCGAUUAGCGAAAUGUAUAACCUUUGAACAUCCGUAGAUUGUUCAAUUUUCCUCUGUAGCUGCAGCAGGUUUAAGGAAUGGUUAGUCCCGUAAAGGUACUCCUAAUAUAAGUAUUAACCGUAGGCAUCCGUACAUGUUCAUUUACCUCUGUAGCGAACAAUGGGCCAAAUGAAUGGUUAGUCCCGUAAAGGUACCCCUAAUAUAAGUAAUAACCGUAGGCAUCCGUAGAUGUUCAUCUACCACUGUUGCUAACAGGUGGGUUCCAGAAUGGUUAGUCCCGUCUAGAUAUCCCAUUGAACUGGGAUAGGUAGGACAAUUUACACAUAGAUGUUCAUCUACCACUGUUGCUAACAGGUGGGUUCCAGAAUGAUUAGUCCCGUCUAGAUAUCCCGUUGAACUGGGAUAGGUAGGACAAUUUACACAUAAUGUACUAGUAAAUCAUCCUAGUGAAUUUAGGUACAAGAAUCCAUGUAAGUGCAUACAAAUAAAUGUAUAUAUGUAAAAGUAUUCAUGUAAGCGUAUUGAUGUAGACGUAUUCAAGUAACAUGUAAUGUAUAGUAUAGAAUCAUGAAUGAAAUGACUCUGGUGUGAUUCCUUGUAAUAGGAAUUAUGUUUUUUCUUUCCUAACUAUCCCUAUAGUAGUUAACUGGAAGGUAAUUGAUUGUCCAAACAUGUUUAUACACCCUUGCUACACAAGAGUGUGGGAAACUGAAUGAUGGAUGAAAACUAUAACAUUAAUACAUAUAUAAGAACAUAAGUGUAUAGAUAUAGUUUUGUUCAAGAACGUAAAAUGAUUUUGUAAGACAUCUAAGAGUUUUGAACAAUAAUUAACAAUGACUUGAUGUCAUUUUAAUAAACAUUUCAAACAUAAUACUUUUGCUACCAAGGUAUUUUAAGAUAGAAAACCAUUUCAUGCAUCACAUUUUGAAGUAUGUGAAAUCUGAUGGAUGAAAACACAGUUAUAAAUACAUAUGAGUGAUUCAAUAACAUAGUGUUUUCUACUGGUAUUCCCCCAUUUAAAGCAUUUAAAAUUAUUUAAAAGAUUGAUUAAGGGGUAUGAACUCACUUGUAGUGAGUGGAUUGGAUUGAAGUGUCGGAUACGAUGCUAGGUGACAAAUGGGGAGUUGUACAUGCGCACAAGCCUAGUUAUCAUAUAAUGAACAUAUAUAUAACUAAUUAGCCAAUCUAUAACUAAUAAAUUAAGUUGGGACACUCUAGAACAUGAAAACACUUUGUUUCAAGUGUUAAAGAUCACAAGGGUUGCAUCCAAGUGUUUGUAGGCCAAAGCUAGAGUGUUGGGAGUUCAAGGGUAAACUCGUUUGGAGUUUAUGGUUUUAAUGACCAUUACCCAAGGAGUUUACGACAGUAAACUCAAGGGUUUACGGUCGUAAACUCUACACCUUAUGACCAUAUGUUGUUUUGAGGUUUUACAAGUCCUUCGAAGCAUUUCUACUUGGUAGUUAGGCCUUAGGAAGGGACUAGGGCAACAAAACAAUCCUUUGAGGAGUUUACGGACUCAUGGUCAUUUCCCUUUGGGUUUACUACCUUAAACUCAUGAUUUUAGUACCUUAAACUCAUGAGUUUACUACCUUAAACCCAUAAGUUUGGUAUUUGGGGGUUUUCAAGUCCUUAGCUCAAUCAUGGCAAUAGUCUAGGUUAGAUUUAAGGAAUAACCAUGGGACUUUUAUACACCUUUUGGGGUGUUUACGGUUUUGGGAGAUCCCUAAACCGUAAACACAUAAAAAUGUAAGGUUUUGGUGCUUUUUGUGUGAUAAACUCAUCAAGGAUGAAUCUAGACAAGUCCCUAAGGCAUGGUGAAGCAUCUAGGCACCUUAAGGCACCACUUUGCACCAUAUUUGGUGUAUACGGUUUUGGGAACCUCCCAAAACUGUGAACACCUUGAUCUUGGUGUUCUUGGGACUUUUCUUUGAUGUUAACAUGUAACACAAUCUUAUUAAGAAUCAAGGAUGGAAGUACUUACUAUAAGGAAGCUUAAAAUGAGCUAAAAGUCCAAGAACACUUAGUUUGUGUUCUUGGUGUUUUUGGAAAUCAAAUCAAAACAUAAAAAUGGAUGGAUGAAAAAAAUGUAAAAUCACUAGAUUAAGUGUUAUACCAACUUGAAAUGGCUAGAAAACAUACAAGUUUGAAGAUAUUGAAUUAAAUCUUGGAUGAUACUUGAGAGUGUUUUUAAGUUUACUCUUUUGGUAAUUGGGGAGUAAACAUAAAAUGACUAGUUUGGGGAGUAAACUCAUGCUUAAGGCAUGAGUUUACAUUAUUGGGGGUAGUUUACGGUCCAAACAUAAAAGUUCAGCCGCGAACUUCUAAGCUACGUGGUAUUCACGGUUUAGAAAUUUCGAGACCCGAGACGGCUCAUCCGUUCACCCGUUCGUUUAAAGAUUAAUUAUUAAAAUAAUCAAAUGAACUUAUUUUUCCCAAAAAUAAGUAAAAGUGAACUUGACUUAUAAUAUGAAGUGAUUGACUUUUAGGGUUUGACCGAAUGAAAAUUCCGGGUUGUCACAGUACGUCCGUUUUUUCCGAGUUUACCAUUAAACCAUAAAAACAAUAUGAACAAACAUUAAAAUCAAGAAGAGUAAACUUACAAGGAAGGCUAUGAGAAGAGAAGCAACCAGAGUCGUAUGUGCAGCAACAACUUCUUUUUUUUAUGUAUAUGGGAUAUAAUAUGAAGUGCUUGAAAGAACUAGGAAUUUAAGAGAUAGACUAAGAGAAUCAGAAAGAGAGUGUUUAGAGAGACAUGAGGGAAAUAACAACAAAAUUUUUAAUUCGUAUGAAUAUUCGAUAACUUAUACAAUCGUUUACAAUCCUUUAUAUAGGAAAAGGGUAGCGUAAUAUUUACAAUUAAAAUAUCGACAGACAAAACUUGACAUUACAUAAAGUAGGAAAAGACUACACACCAAAUAAAGUGAAGGCACAUCUGUAAAAGUCGAAAAUAAUAAUUCUAUACGACAACUAUAAUUUCAUAAAUGGCCUUUGAACUUGUUAUGUCUUGUCUUUUUUCACAAAUGGCCCAUAAAUUUGUUCAAACUUAUCACUUUGUAUCCUUUGUUGAAAAAACAUCAUUUUCUAAAAAUCCCGAUGAGUACUAUCAAUAGAAACCGGUGAUCCUAGUUCUGUGUCAACCUGUGCUUCACUAUUCAUGAUAUCUUCUAGUCUCAAUAGUGUAUCUCCUUCGCCGCUGAAUGGCAAAAGCAUAUGCCAGUUUUGAUGAGACCAAAUUUGUAAGUAGUGUCCUUCGGCUAGGAGUUUAUAAUUUUCCCAGCGAAAGCUUGCAGGUAGUAAAGGUGUUUUUUGAGCUGUGCGUAUAUCUUCAUUUGAAAGAUUCUGUAGAGUCCCAAAAUCUAUUUCUUGUUUGCAUGAUAACUUUUUAAGAUAGCCAUGUUGUACUGUUCUUUGGGUGAUGAAGAUCCUUUUUCUAGCAGGCCUGUAUGUAUGUUCAUCUGCUGCUGGAAAAGAAGAAAAAAUUUUCCACCAAAUAAUUGGACUGAUGCUGUGAGAGGCGAUGUUGCCGGCUGUUAAAAUAAAAUUUUCUCCUAAUUUAUUAAGAAGACUUUGUGUGCUGCUAUUGAGGCAAAAUUCUAAGUAAUAUAUCAUUCCAUUGUGAUAAAAAUUUAUUAUCUGUUCUUCUGGCAUAUCUAUAGUCUUUAGGUUUAUCUGUAACAGGAGUAUGGGUGUAUCUUCUCCUUCAUCAUUCAGUCUGUAGUCUUUAGGUUUUUCUGUAUAUUGUUGUUUUUAAUUUCUCGUCUUUUUUCUCAUUCCUUUGCAUAAGUUGUACAUUUUUUUUCUUCAAGAAUUUUUAUUUUUUGUUUCAAAAUAUUGUUUUCAAUCUGGCUUUGUACAUGUUGUGUAUCUUUUCCAGAUUGGAUAAGUUGUUGUAACUUCGCAAUAAUUUCCUCCUGAGCUUUGAUCAUUUGCUCUAGACUAGUUUUUGCUAUUUCUGAAAAUGUUUUCACCUGUUCGGGUUCUAUAAAAAAAACUGUUUAACCCAAAAUGUUCUCGAGCAAUAUUCAUAGCUUAUUGGAAGCUAUGACAUCCCUUGUAAAGGGGAUUUUGACACUGUAUAUGUUUUAUGACUAUUGCCCAAUUAUUAAAAAUCCCAACUUUAGUGCCCCUGAUGACAACAUAAUGUGUAAACUUCUUUAUUUGUUUUUCAGGAGUCAAUGGUGAUUGUUUAUGAAAGUAAAAAAUUAAAGCAUUGAGAAUUUGAACUUUAAAUGAUGAAGCUUGUGGAACUAUCUGAAUAUGCCAUAAGUUGUCUAUCAAACAUUGUUGGUCUUCUGUCAAGUUUACCCCGAUCAUGGGCCUAAACUUUUUACGUUCAUCGAAGCAAAUUGGUAAAGUGCAGUUACCAAAUGCUAUAUCGGCUUCUCUGUUCUGUGUAUAUUGUUUAUUUUUUGAAGAUCCUGUCCAACAAUGUGCAUGUUGAAUGUUUUGAGAUUGUAAUCUAGAUCCUUGCAAAAGGUUAUUAUUAAGUGUAGUACUCGCUAUUUCCAUAUAAGGAAUUGAGUUCUGUUGUGUGGGUUUAUGUAGAUAUUCUGUUUUUAUUGCUGAAUCCAAUAAUUUUUCUGUUGAUGUUGUGUUUCUAUCUUCUUCUGAGGAAAUGCUCAUAGAAGAGGAACUCCUUUUUUGUUGUUUAGGCUGUAUUAAUUUGCUCUUUCGUUUGUUUCGACUAUCCAUCUGCAGAAAAUAAUUUGUUAAUAUUUCUGGAUAGCAUAUUAGCUAUUCUAUUAUUUUCUCCUUUUAUGUGCUCAAAAUUUAUCUUAUAUCCACUUCCUUGUAUUUUAUUUUGUAAAUUAAUCCAUCGUGUCCAAUUUAUUUUCUUACUUUGAUCAUUUUUAAUAAAACGAACUAUAGCUUCACAAUCUGUUCUAACUGUAAAUUCUUUAAGUAAAAAUAUUUUAUAUUUUUCUAAAGCAUUUAUUAAAGCUUGUAUUUCGUAGUCUAUAGAAGUCCAAUUCAUUCCUGUCUUAUUAAAUCUUCCAAUAGCAUAUGAGCAUAUUUUUCUGUAUCUUUUGGGCUAUAUUUAUCGGAUUUACAAAGGAGAACGGCUCCCCAUCAUUCUUUGCAUCCAUCAACUUCUAUUAUUAUGUAAUCAGUAACUAAUGGUAAUUCUAACGAUUUAAUAUUUUUAACUGCUUCUUUAAUUAGUUUAACUAAUUUAAUGUCUUCUUGGUUGAAAUGCCUUUGUCCAUUUUUUGUUGUUUUACUAUAUAAUGGUCCCACUAACUUUGAAAGACUAGGAAUAAACAUUCGCGCAUAAUUAACCAAUCCUAAAAAAGCUUGUAUCUAUUUUAGAUUUUCAAAUUUCUCUAGGAAUUCUAAUUUUUUUUUCGAUAUAUGACUUUGUAAUUCAAUUUUUCCAUUUCCUAUUUCUAAACCAAGAAACGAUAUUUUUCUUUUAAACAAUUCCAUUUUUCUUUUAGAAAUAACAAUACCAUUCCUUUUUAUUUCUUCAAAUAUUUUCUGUAAAUGCUUCUCAUGUUCCUGUACUGUUUCACUGGCAACCAAAAUAUCAUCAAUAUAUACUAAACAAAAAUCAUAUUUCAGAAAGAUAUUGUCCAUAAACCUUUGAAAUAUAGAUGGAGCUUUUUUAAGCCCAAAACUUAAAACAUUCCAUUCAUAUUGUCCUUCAGAACAUGUAAAUGUUGUCCAUGAUUUAAAGUUUUCAUCAAGCUGUAACUGAUUGUAUCCAGAUUUUAAAUCAAACUAGCAAAAAAAAAUUCUUUUGUAUCAAGUUUAUUAAAGAGUCUUUAUUACGGAUGUUGUAACCAUCAUCUUCUGUAUGAUUAUUUAGUCUUUUAUAAUUAUAAACUAUUCGAGCUUUUCCUCUUUUUAUUUCAGAAUGAUUUCUGACUAUAAAAGUUGCUGAUCUAUGUGGGUUUCCGAUUUUCUAAUUAAUCCCUGUUCUGUCAUUUCUGGUAUUUGUUUUUUAAAUUCUUCUUUAUCUAAAGGACUAUAUAUUGUAUGUUUGCUGUUCUUAUUAUAAUAUCAUGAUUUUUUUAAUUUAAAUUUACAAAUACAGUUAACUUUUGAUUUUGUAAUAUCUUCUCCUAUAAGUGUAAUUUUCUCUAAGUGUAAAAUUGUAGGAUGAUUCAUACAUUUUGUUAUAUCUUUUCCUUUUUCUAACUCAUGUGUUAAAAAUUUUGUUAAUAGCUUAAUUAUUUCAUUUUCAAUGUUUGUCUUAAUUUGAUUAUGUUUUAAAAAGUCUAGUUUACCUUGUCCNUUAAGGCUUAGUUUAGCAUCUGGGGAUGUUGUUUUAGUAAGUGUUUGAAUAUGUUACUAAUGAAGCUUCACUCAACUUCAUUAUAUAUAUAUAUAUAUAUGUAUAUAUAUGUUUACUAAGUGUGAUAAAAUUACGUGUUAAUGUCAUAGCCCCAUUUAAGGCAAAAAUAAAAUGUAGUCCGAGAAUAAAAUCAUUAGAUUUUACAUAUUCUGGAUUGAUAUUAACCUGUGGGAUAUCAUAUUUCAUACUAUAGAUACUUGCAAAGUCUAGAAAUUGAAUACCUGUUGGUUCUACGUAAUGUGUGAUAGUUAUUAGUCUGUGUUCGAUUGUUCUUGUCAUUAAUUUAUGUGAUAACUGUUUAUGGUAUGAUUUUGGUGCUAGAUGAUAAGAUUGUUGGCUUUUGAGCAUUCUAACACUCCUAAGUGUACAUGCAACCCUAAAUACCUUGGAUCUAUGUUUUCUCUAUUAUACAUGCAAAUAUGAAUAUUCCAAGGUAUUACCCUAACUAGCAUACAAUCUUUUGAUACUUGAAUAAUAAACUAGAUAGAAAUACAUACCUUGUUGAUGUAGCUUAACUCCAUGAAGCUCGAGAGCCUAGUGCCCCAAGUGUGACACCUCAAAUGGUUCACACAACAUCAUCAACACUUGGAAUAACCAUGAAAAGAAGACACUUCAUGCUCAAAUUGGCUAGCCCUCAUAUAAGUAUCAAUAGUGCCAAUUUCUUGAGCUAAAGGGGUCUUUAUAUAGUGUGGCUAUUAGGGUUACACCAUGUAACUCAUGACUUUACCCAUUCCUUAUGCCCCAUGGGUUUUAACCUCCAUGAAGUAUCCAUGGGUCACCACAUGGGUUAAACCAACAUAAGGAAUCUUGGAUCAUAAGCCCAUACAUAUAAGAAUUGACGAUUUUCACAAUCAAUCCCCAUAUAUUUAAUUAGUCUUUUUUUAUCACUAAAUUAAGUCCAAAUUAAUUUUUGAUCAAUACUAAUUAAAUAACAUGAUUUCAUAUUAAUAUAUUAGAACUUAUAAUAUAUUAAUAUGUCACAAAUGUCCUCUUCUCACAAACGGUCUAUCCAAAUGUUCCGAUGCCAUGCAACCCAAAUGGACCAUGCCGAGUCGGGUCAAGUACAUACCAAUUAUAGUUAUGGACUUAGACACUAAUCCAACAGUCUCCCACUUGGAUAAGUCUAAAACUAUUAUUGAGUAUGACUUCAAAACCUAACUGGCAAUCGUAGCUCUCAAAAGCCGCUGUCGAACUCUGACCUUGUCGAUGAACUCUGACCUUUGUCAAUGACUUGUCCAUUAGAUAAGGGAUCAUAUAUUCCUCCAUUCUAGAUAUCAUAUGGACUGAGACAUGGAUUAAAAUCAUUCUCUCUGUCCAUUUGUUGUUUCCCGAUUUCCGAUUUAUGACGACUGACUAAUUGAACAAAUCAAAUCAGUCCUGGCCCGGCCGAGCACUUCCAUUUGUCAUCAUCAAAUCAUCGAGGGGCCCACAGAUAUCGCUUUUAUCCCGAAGGUAAAAGGAAUGGAUAAACUUCGACUCAUAUGGCUUGUUCUACUACUUGUUGAAUCAUACACAAAGGCACGUUUUAUAACAUCGAGUUACCGAAUGCGUUUUCGUGCAAUCAAUGUACAACCAACUCAUAGUAACAACUCAUAUCUCUAGGUUUGAAGAAUAUAAGAUAUUAUCGUCUCAUGAUCACUCGUGAUAAAAUCCAUGAAGUGAUUCCAAUGAGCGCGGGUUGAAUCCAAUACUCAGAACUUAUGAGCACUCAUGAGUGUUGUAGCACAACUUUGUCCACCAACUUGGACCUCUACAAGCCAACCCAUGACAGUCUUGAUUCAUAUCUACUUCCAACAUAUGACCGACUGUGGAUGGUUUGAAUAACUUAGUCAUUCUGGAAGAAUAACCUAGUUUAUUCUGGAAGUCAAAACAUGCAAAAUGAAACACAAGAAUAAUUGAAUCUAAUAUGGUAUCAAAACCUAUGAACAUAAAUAAAACACCUUUUAUUUAUCACCAUAUGAUUACACAUUAUUCAUUGCAUACUGUUUCAGCUAUCAACUUUAUUCUUGAAUUAAAACAACAGUUGUCCCAUGCUCUGAGCAUGUACACUAUGUUUAUCUAAACAAUAGCUUUGCCAUACACCAAGUAUGCACUCUAUGUUUGUCUAUGAUCCUUACUUUGUGAAAUAAACCAAUUGACCAAACUUUCAAUGAUUCUAAUUUCACACUCCCGAAUUCUUAUGGCAAAUGCAAGAAUUCCAAAUACAUGCCAUUUUACCGAAAUAUGUUAGAUUCUAAACUUAUAUGCAAUGAUUCUCAUGUAAUGAUUAUGCACAAAGUCACAACGACUUGACAACAAACAUUGCAGAGCAUUCCAAAGGAUAUAAACUCCUUGGAAACAUCCUUCUUGCAUUAAGUUUCCUAAUCUUACACAGAUUUAUUGAACAACUUCCACCAAUGGGAUCAUUUCCACAUUCCCCUUUUGACUAUCACUUCUGAACAAGAGUUGCCUCUUUUCAGAAUAUGUCAAUAUGGUCCUUCCAACAAUUAACACUAUACUUCCAACUGUCCCUGAGCAACCAAUCUUUGGUAAACCUUAGAUUGUCCUCGACAAUUGCUUAAUCGUUUUAGUCAUAUCCAGUUCUAGACCUUUUCCCUUCUUAAUGCCCCAGGCAUUUGGAAAAUUUUAGAAAUGAUGAAUAUAGCACAUGUAAUCGAUCCUAUAUCCGAAGCAUAUGGGACACGAUUCAUGAUGUCUCACUCACACCCUAAAACCGAGAACGGCGGAAACGUUCGGGGGCGGAGGACGUCAUGUAAAGUAUCACAACACAGUAAAAGUAAAUAAGCAAACAACAUCAUCCAUUGCAUUAAAUAUAUAAUUUUAAUACAAGCGUGUUCUGAACAAUUAUAGACACCAAAAAUAAUGUAAAUCAAAAUAAUAAGAUGAGUCUUGGAUGCGCUCCAUCUUCUCAAAAGCUGGCCUCGGUACCUGUCUACUGAUGACUUGAGAAUACAAGUUAUUUUGAAAGAGUUUAUCAGCAUUAAGCUGGUGAGUUCAUAAGUAUUUUAGUGUCGGUGUUUGUUAUCAAAACGUUUGAACAUGUCUCAAGUGUAAGUUUGUAAAAUGUAUGUAAAUGUUUGUAAGUGUUUGUAAAAGUUUGAAUCUCUCAGAAAAACCUAUAUUUUCUAUUAAAGUAGCCUUCUACCAAGGCUUAACUGUUUUGUAUGUUCGUUUGUUGUAAAAGUGUGUAAUUUCCCAAGUGUAACUAUCAUUUAACAAAAUAUAGUUUGUACAUUAAUGUUUAAGUGAAAUAAUCACUAAAUAUAUGUAAUGGGUAAAUUAUUGUAGUACUGUAGUGUUGUAUUAUAGGAACUACUGCUGUACUAACUACCUUAAACCGGAUUUAUAUUAAGGUAUCAUGUGAUUAAUUGCACCAUACUAUCGACUGGUAACAACGACAUACGAAUGGUCGUAAUAACGGAAUGACGUUUGGCACCCGCAGACCUGCAGGUCCGGCUGUAGCUAGCAGCAAGGUGUAGGAUAGUCAAUCCAGUAUAGAUCUAUACGCAAACUCACGCUCUCCCUUCAAGAGACUUUGGCUACAACUCGGGCCAUGACAUUUAAGUCAUGCUCCGAUUCAUAUCACAAUAAUGAACGUAUUCUUGUAUAUGUAAUGUAAUGAACUGUUCUAGUAUAGUUGUAUAUGUUCUUUCUCUAGUAUAGUUGUAUAUGUUCUUUGUCUAGUAUAGUUGUAUAUGUUCUCUUUCUAGUAUAGUUGUAUAUGUUCUCUUUCUAGUAUAGUUGUAUAUGUUCUCUUUCUAGUAUAGUUGUAUAUGUACUCAUAGUAAUGUAAUGUAUAUGUUCUCAUAGUAAUAAGUAUUGACUCAUGAAUGAACUGACUCAUUGAUCUAGAAAUUGUAAUAGUAUGAUCUUGUGUUACCCCGAUGGUAACUUACUAAUGAUGUAACUAAUACGCAUGAAUAUGGGAGUACUUUUAUGUCUAUAUAUGUACGCUUGAUAUAUAAUUAAUAUUGAAACGGCCUUCGGACGGCUACCCGAAAUCCCACCAGACCACAUCCAAAUCGAGAAAAAGGAAAUAGGGCGGAUGGCCUUCCUAAGUCCUUUAAAAAUUUCUUAUAUAUCUCUACAUAUUUGGGCAUGCAAUUUAUAAGAAGUAUAAUAAAGUUUAAAUAAAAGUAUUUGAUAAGUAAAAGAGUUUGUAAAGCAGUUUGAAGUAAAACAGUUUGAACAAUAAUAAAAUCAUUGGUUUUAUAGUUAUUAAUCACAUGUGAUUGAUGUAAUAACUAUAAGUAUUUAACUUGUAUUCCACCCAUAAAAGCAUUUAAAACAAUUAAAAGUAUUUCAAAGGUUAAUUAAAGGGGUAUGAACUCACUUGUGGUGAGUGGAUUAGAUUGAAGUGUCGGAUAUUGUGCUAGGUGGCAAACGGAGACUUGUUCACACGCACAAGCCUAGUUAUCAUAUAAUGAGCAUAUAUAUAACUAAUUAGCCAAAUAAUAACUAAUGAAUUAAGUUGGGACACUCUAUAACAUGUAAACACUUUGUAUAAGUGUUAUAAGUCCUAAGGGUUGCUUCUAGGUUGUUGUGGGACAAGGCUAAAGGGGUUUAAAGUUUCCAAGGACCUUGUAUAUGUGUUUACUCUUCAAUAAACUCCACAUAAGGUGUUUACAGUCGUAAACCCAUGAGUUUAUGGUCGUAAGCUCUCAAAUAUGUUGACAUAAUUUGUUUUGAAGUGUUACUUGAUUUCUAGAAUAAGUUCUACUUGGUGGUUUAGUUCUUUGUGUAGUUUAGGGCAUAGAAACACUCCUUUGAGGAGUUUACGGCCCCAAGGCCAAUUCCCUUGGAGUUUAUGGCCGUAAACUCUCAUGGGAUGGGUGUUUUUAUGCUUUCAAGUCCCAAGCACAUGUAGGAUAGUUUCUAGGCAUUUUUUUUAAGCUAAUGAAGGUCCUAGGCACACUUUGGUGCCCUUGAUUGAUGUUCACGGCCCAAGCACAGUUAAUAAGGCCGUAAACUCACAUAGGAAGGUGUCUUUGAUGUUUUAAAGUCCUCAAACUAGUUAGGAUUAAAUAGGGGUUAAAGUCCAAGGCUUUAGGAGUGAUUUAAACCCUCUUUGGCACUUGAUUUUGGAGUUCACGGUCAAAGAACUUCUUGGGUCGUGAACACCCUAAUCUUGGUGUUUUUGAUUGUUUUCUAGUCCUAAAUACACUUACAAAUAAGCCUAAGUCCGUCACUUAUCAUGGGGAAAAGACUAGGUAGCAUUUAAGCCUCAUAUUGGAGUUUACUCUCCUAGAACGUUCUUGGGCGGUAAACUCCCGAAUCUCACAGAUUUGAUAUGUAAACUAAGUUAUUAAACACAUAAUAAGAUUUAUAAGACAACUAGAGAAGUGUACUCACGAUUUGGGGCGAAAACCCGAAGAUCCGUGAGAUAGAAAAUGGCUUUUCUCUAGUUGGAAAUGUGAAUAAUGAAUGAAUUUGGUUUAGAAAUCUAUUUAUAGUCCUGAGACAUUUUUAGCAGAAAAUAUUUUUAUUCCGGAAAUGAACUCAAAUAUUACGAAGUUUUCAAAUACUCGAGUUUCACUAACCCAUGUGCAUCCACUCUCCAGAUAUCUCCUUAAACGUAAACCCUAAUAUACUCAAACUUAUUCGGAAAAGUCUGAAAUUCACUGUAACUGGUCUAGCUUCUAUUGAAUUGAUAAUGUUCGUACAAAAUGGAAAUUUCGGGUUGUCACAUCAUCCCCCCGUUAGAAGGAAUUUCGUCCCGAAAUUAGAAUUUAAGCAAUUAAGAAGUUACAAAUAACUAAGCGAAAAGAUGAGGGUAUUUCAGUUUCAUCUGAUCCUCGUGUUCCCAAGUGAAUUCUGGUCCUCGCUUGGCGUUCCAGCGAACCUUCACGAUCGGGAUACGGAUUUGCUUUGUCUGCUUGACCUCACGACCCAUGAGCUCUACCAGUUCUUCCACGAAGUUGAGGCUCUAGUUUAUCUCGAUCUCGUCGAGUGGGAUUACAAGAGUCUCGUCGGACAGACACUUUUUCAAGUUAGAUACGUGGAAUGUAGAAUGUACGUUACGAAGUGCGUCGGGUAGGUCGAGUUUGUAAGCUACGGGGCCGACUCUUGCGAGAAUCUCGAAAGGCCCUAUGUACCUCGGAUUAAGCUUCCCACGCUUUCCGAAGCGUAUCAAGCCUUUCCAGGGUGAGACUUUGAGAAGGACUCGGUCUCCCACCUGAAAUUCCAAAGGUUUUCUUCGCUUAUCAGCGUAGCUCUUCUGUCGGUCUCUAGAGGCUUUCAAUCGUUCACGGAUCUGAACGAUUUUCUCUGUCGUUUCCCGAAUGAUCUCCGGACCGGUGAGAGUACUGUCAGAAGCUUGCCCCCUAGCUAAUUGGGUAUCACCCACCUCAGCCCAGCACAGAGGGGAUCUGCACUUUCGGCCGUAGAGAGCUUCAAAUGGAGCAGCCUUGAUGCUCGUGUGAUAACUGUUAUUAUAGGAAAACUCGACAAGGGGUAAAUGAGUAUCCCAUGCCUUCCCAAAGUCAAUCACGCAGGCUCGCAACAUAUCUUCUAGAGUUUGGAUGGUCCUCUCACUCUGUCCGUCGGUCUGAGGAUGGUAGGCUGUGCUCAUGUCCAGCCUUGUUCCUAGGGAAUGUUGUAGUGAUUGCCAAAAUCUUGAGGUGAACCUACUAUCUCUAUCGGAGAUAAUGGACAUAGGUACACCAUGUAGCCGUACGAUUUCCCUAAUGUAUGUUCUCGUAAGUUUCUCCAUCUUGUCAGUUUCUUUGAUAGGCAGGAAGUGUGCAGACUUGGUCAAUCUAUCGACGAUGACCCAUAUGGUAUCAAGUCCACCCGUUGUCUUGGGCAACUUGGUUAUGAAAUCCAUAGUGAUCCGCUCCCACUUCCAUUCUGGAAUCUCUGGUUGUUGCAGUAAACCGGAGGGCUUCUGGUACUCGACCUUAACCUUUGCGCAAGUAAGGCAUUUACUUACGAAGGUAGCAAUCUCUGCUUUCAUAUUAGGCCACCAGUAUAGCUUUUUAAGAUCCAGCUACAUCUUAUCUGAACCUGGGUGGACGGAAUAUCGAGUGUUCUGUGCCUCGGUCAUGACCAAGUCUCGGAAACCACUGUGUUUCGGUGUCUAGAUCAGGUUCAUGAAAUAUAAGGCUCCGCCACCAUUGGCUUCUAAAUUCUUAUCCAUUCCUCUAAGGGAUUCACUCGUCACAUUUUCAGGUUUCAUGGCUUCCAGUUGGGCCGCCUGAAUUUUCUUAGACAAGUGUGAAUGGAUGGUUAUUGACAAUGACUUGACCCUGCGACCAGAAUAUUCCUUCCGACUUAGGGCGUCUGCUACUACGUUGGCUUUACCCGGAUGAUAACGAAUAUCGUAUUCGUAGUCACUGAGUAGCUCGAACCACCGUCGUUGUCUCAUGUUGAGCUCCUUCUCAUCGAAUAUGUGUUGUAAACUCUUGUGGUCGGUAAAAAUAGUGCUUUUCGUUCCGUACAAGUAAUGUCUCCAGAUCUUCAUAGCAAACACCACUGCUCCUAGUUCAAGAUCGUGGGUUGUGUAGUUAACUUUGUGUGUCUUCAAUUGUCUCGAGGCGUUGGCGAUGACCUUACCUCGCUGCAUCAGAACAUACCCGAGUCCUUGAUUCGAUGCAUCGCAAUAGACUACGAAGUCUUCUAUUCCUUCGGGGAGGGAUAGUAUUGGUGCGGUGCAUAACGCUCGCUUGAGCGUUUGGAACGCUCUCUCCUGUUUCUCUUCCCAGUCGAAGGCCACGCCUUUCUGCGUCAGUGUUGUAAGAGGUUUCGCAAUUCGGGAAAAGUUCUGUAUGAACCUGCAGUAGUAGCCAGCGAGACCUAGAAACUGCCUAAUUUCUGUAGGCGUCUUUGGUGCUGACCAGUUCUCAAUGGCCUUAAUUUUGGAUGGGUCCACGUGGAUUCCCUCUUCACUUACCACGUGUCCUAAGAAUUCGACUCUUUGGAUCCAAAAUUCACACUUAGAGAACUUCGCAUAGAGCUUCUCCGCUCGUAAAGUUCCUAGAACUUNAUAGUUCGCCCCUUGCAGUUGGUCAAAUAGAUCGUCUAUGCGAGGCAGAGGGUAACGAUUCUUGACCGUCAGUUUGUUGAGUUCUCUGUAGUUGAUACACAUACGGAAUGAUCCGUCUUUCUUCUUAACGAACAAGAUCGGUGCUCCUCAAAGUGAGAAACUUGGUAUUAUAAAUCCUUUGCUGAGCAGUUCGUUAAGUUGACCAGAUAGUUCCUGCAUCUCUGUUGGUGCUAAUCGGUAGGGCGACUUGGCUACUGGGGUAGCUCCUGGGACUAAGUCGAUUCUGAACUCGACCUGUCGUUGCGAAGGUAAUCCUGGUAGCUCUUCUGGGAAAAUGUCGGGGAAGUCGCUCACUACUGGAAUGCUCUUUAGUUCCUUUGUUUCGAGGCUCGUAUCGACGACGUGAGCAAGGAAUGCAUGGUAUUCUUUACGCAGAUACUUCUGUGCUUGAAUACUUGAUAUAAUACGAAGACUCGCACCGGGUUUGUCGCCGUAGACGAUAAGAGUUUCGUUAGACGGAAGGUUUAGACGGACUGCUUUCUCGUAGCACAUGAUGUCGGCGCGAUGAAGACUUAACCAAUCCAUGCCAAUGAUAACGUCGAAGCUUUUUAUUGAUACCGGCAUAAGGUCGAUUAGGAAUGAAUGGUUAUCUAGAGUUAGGGUACAACCUAAGUAUAUGCUAUUCGUAUUUUCAGUUUUUCCAUUUGCCAUUUCUACUGUGAAUUGUUCCUUAAGUGUGUGUGGUUGUUGCUUAAGCAUGCGAGCAAAUUUAUGGUUCACGAAGCUUCGCUCCGCUCCACUAUCGAAUAGAAUGCAUGCGUAGGAGUUAUCGAGGAGGAACAUACCAGUCACCACCGUCGGGUCAGCAACUGCUUCCCCAUGGCCUAUUGCUAGUACCCUCCCUGCUCCUCCAGCAUUCUUCGCUUUGGGGCAGUCCCUCUUAUAGUGGCCUGCUUCACCACAUCCAUAGCAGGUCGGGCUCGCGCCAGAGCCGGGGACUUGGGUGAUCGGCCUCGCCGGGGAUUUACAGAAACGGACGGUGUGUCCUUUCCUGUUGCAGUUAGAGCACUGCAUUUCACGGCAGGGGCCGUUGUGGUGGAAGUUGCAUUUGUUGCACUUAGGCAAACUUCCAGCAUACUGCCUCACCGGAGCAGUAUCAGCAGCAGGGGUUAUCGCGGCAUGUAUAGCCACAACUUGCUGCUUUUUAGCAGCUCGCUGUUUCUUCUUGUCUUCCCAGAACUUCCGCUUAGUGUCAGCGGGUUUGGAGGGUUCCGGGAUGGCUAGGGUGGUUGUUGUUGCAGGGGUUUUGACUCCAUGGUCAAUGAGUCGCUGUGCCAGUCGCUUGGCACUGUCGAAGGUAGCGGGGUUUGAUGAUAGGACAUUCCCCUGAUAUGGAGGCACUAGCCCCCAUAUGUACCUUUCAAUCUUUUUCCCUUCAGUGGGAACCAUAUUGGGGCAGAGGGCCACCAGUUCGCUGAAUCUGGCGGUAUAAGCGACCACGUUGGUGCCCUUCAUGGUCAGGCUCCAAAGCUCCUGCUCCAAUUUCUGGAUUUCGCCCCUCGGGCAGUAUUCCUCAAUCAUGAGGUCGUUCAUGGUUUCCUAGCCCAUAUCAUUCGCCACUACAAGAGUCAGCGCUUUAAAGUGCCCGUUCCACCACGUCAGGGCCUUUCCUUCAAAGGUGCAUGCGGCAUAUUUGACUUUGCUCACAGCAGGGCAUGAACAAAUUUCGAAGAGGGAUUCAGUCUUCUCGAACCAUUGCGAGAGGGCAAUGACUCCGCCGGUGCCAUAGAAGGACUUCGGCUUGCAGUUGGUGAAAUCCUUGUAUGAGCACUGUUACACCGUGAAUUUCAAAAUAAUUUUUCGCAGAAAAUAAAAACGUUUUCAUUUAAUUUUCAUAAAAAUAUCAAUGUUUUAAGACUCCAAUCCAUAUCAUACAAAAAUCCCAAGAUCACAUAUCAUAAAAUCCCAUUCGUGUGUACAGAUCAAGUCGGCGCCUUCCCUCGGUCAUCACUAGUACCUGAAACAAACAACACUAACACUGUAAGCACAAAGCUUAGUGAGUUCCCCAAAAUACCACACAUAACACAUAUUAGCCACUCGAGGCUAUAACUCUGUGGGUCCGUAGACCCUACUCUGUGAACCCACUGGUUCUAACUUUGGGAACCUUCCGGUUCCAACUCUCUAAACAUGCACAGCAUAAAUCACAUAGAAAUAAUGCACUACAACACAUAACAUACAUAUAGCAUACAAAUACUCUGUCACAUAACUCUGAUUACCUACUCAAGGUAAAGUAUAAUGAGAAGACUCACCUCGUGUAUCUCGAUAACUCGCAAAUCCCUGAAAUCACUACUGCUCGAUCUCCAAGCUAAAGUCCUCCUAUAACACAAUACAUCUCUAAUUAACACUUUCCCAACUAAGGUUGACUAACCCUAUCAAGUCAACGUUGGUCAACUCUGGUCAAUGGUCAACGGUCCACUUGACCGGACACGGCGAGUGCACUAGAGCGACUCCGCGAGUCUAUACGUUUUCACUGACUCCUUAGGAUCCUCUUUAGACACGUCGAGUACUUCCCUGACUCGACGGGUUCCACCUAGCAUGAAUCGCGGGGCCACCAUGACUCAACUCGCCGAGUCUCAAGAACAACUCGGCGAGUUCCAGCUCGACUCAGUCCACCUGUCACUCUCUCUAACUCUCCCUGACUCACCGAUUCCACCCUUAACUCGGCAAGACCACUCGCUGAGUGGUUCAGGACAAACUUCAUGCUACUCGUCGAGUCAGUUUUUCGGACUCGGCGCGUCCAUGCCAUGCACUAACUCAAUCUCACUUCUGAGGUCAAAUCCGCUCCAACAACUCAUAGAUCUGUCCCUCCCAAGCACAUUCAUCACGUAAAGUUCAUGUCUUGGCGCUCAUAACACACCCCAUGACUCAUAAAUGGUGUUUUGACCUCAAGCACAAAGACCCCAAUCCAAAACCCCCAUGGAUUCAAAAAAAGCUUGGACAAAGGGACACUCUGGACCUCUAAGGGUCCAGAUCCAAAACCUAACUCGCUUAAGGGACCAAGGAAGCACUAGAUCUAGCCACAAAAGGGCUCAAUAAGCCCUAAAUCAACAUGAACAUCAACAUAACAGAGAAUGGUUCGAAAAUAGUACCUCAAACGUGAUGUUCUGGACCUCAAAUCUUCAGGAAGUUGAUCCUCUUGUUUCCCCUUGGCUAUUGCUUCCUUUCUUGCUGGAUAACACUUCCAAGGUCAAUAAAGGCUCCUUAACUUACUCCAAACGCUCAAGCUCACCAGGGUUUCACUAUGGGGACUGGUGAGCACAAAUGACGGCCAUAAGGCCCUUUAAAUAGGCCCCAAACCCGAGAAAUUAGGGUUUCAUUAAAUAGCACGAACUCGCCGAGUCCCUUCCUUGGACUCACCGAGUCCAGGCGCGAACCCACGUCCAAAUCCGCGAUCAUACUCGGCGUGUCUAGGCUCCAACUCGCCGAGUCUCUUUACAAUUAACAAAAAUAAAUAAAUGAACAAUACCUGGGGAUCCGAGUUGUUACAAUUCUCCCCCAGUAGAACUAGACUUCGCCCUCGAAGUCUCGCUUUGAAAAUAACUCUGGAUGCUGCUCACGCAUCUCACGCUCCGGUUCCCAAGUCAUCUCGGACCCCUUCCGAUGCUGCCACUGAACCAAAACCAGGGGUACCUCCUUGUUCCUCAGAACCUUGAUUUUCCGAUCUCUGAUGGCCACUGGUCUCUCGGCAUAAUUCAGGCUCGCAUCCACCUGAAUAUCCUCUAAUGGAACCACUGCCGACUCAUCGGCUAUACACUUCCUCAGCUGCGACACAUGAAAAGUGUCGUGAAUCUGCCCCAACUCUGCUGGCAAAUCCAAACGAUAGGCUACCCGGCCUACCCUCGCGAUCACUCGGAAAGGACCAAUAUAUCGGGGCCCCAACUUGCCCCUCUUCCUGAAUCGCAUCACUCCUUUCCAAGGAGAGACCUUCAGGAGUACAAGGUCGCCGACCUGAAACUCAAGCUCAGACCGGCGUCUGUCUGCAUAACUCUUCUGUCGGCUCUGGGCGAUCAACAACCUCUGUCUGACCUGCUGAAUAUGCUAUGUCGUCUGAAGCAC